AAUAAGAUCAUUUUUCAGUCUUUUGAUACAUUGUUUUGACCUCUUCGUCUUAUUUGAAAUUUUUUUGCUAUUAAUAUUUUUAUUCUGACCAGAUGAUAAAACAUGAAUAAUAUUUUAUACGUGACUAAUUUUUUAAAUUUUUUUAUAAUUUUUUAAAUAAGACGAAUGGUUAAACGUUGGACACGGAAAAAC
rnacentral:pre_miRNA from 1 species